UGGGGAAUUUUGGACAAUGGGGGCAACCCUGAUCCAGCCAUUCCGCGUGAGUGAAGAAGGCCUUCGGGUUGUAAAGCUCUUUCGGCAGGAACGAAACGGUGGAGGCUAAUACCUUUCAUCAAUGACGGUACCUGAAGAAGAAGCACCGGCUAACUACGUGCCAGCAGCCGCGGUAAUACGUAGGGUGCGAGCGUUAAUCGGAAUUACUGGGCGUAAAGCGUGCGCAGGCGGUUUCGUAAGACAGAUGUGAAAUCCCCGGGCUUAACCUGGGAACUGCGUUUGUGCCUGCGAGACUGGAGUGUGGCAGAGGGGGGUGGAAUUCCACGUGUAGCAGUGAAAUGCGUGGAGAUGUGGAGGAACAUCGAUGGCGAAGGCAGCCCCCUGGGUCAACACUGACGCUCAUGCACGAAAGCGUGGGGAGCAAACA
rnacentral:rRNA from 1 species